UGCAAGCAUCUCACUGGUAGAUGAAGAAGAGGACAGACCCAAGUUCCGAUGUCGUCGACCGAUGAAGAUACAUAUGCGUACACUGCCAACACGUCGUCAGACGACCAGCUCCGUUAUGCUGAAGGGAACAGCGUGAAGGACUACGAGCGCCGAACCUCAAACCUGGGCUACCAAAGCGGUCACCAGCAUCCCGUUGUACCGACAUCAACAGCAGCAAGAAUCCCGGCGCAGGUGAAUGGGUUCUGUGGCUCAGCGCGGGACAACCGCGUAGUGACGAGGCCAGCAUUGGCCGCACAGGAGGCCUGGAUCUCUAGCGACUACUUCACCGCUCGGGAUACAAGCAAGCAGCCUACUUCCGCGCGAACUAAAGCUUUUGAUGUGGCUACCCAGGGCGUCUCAGCUGGGCAAGGAGUCCAGGAACAGGGACGCUCCGUCUUCGGGAUGCCCGCACGCACUUUCAGCCUCUACACCAUCCUGAUGAUCACCUUCGUGGCGGCGCUCAUUUACAUCUACGUACUGUUUCGAUCGGACCCAGCUCGGCCACUGAUAGCCAAAAAACUCGGCAGGUUUGCCAACGACACUAUUUCCGGUGUCGAAUGACGGAAGCAUUGUUACUGAAGUGGAUGAAGUGAUUUGUUGCACUUGC